UACGGAGGGCGCAAACGUUGCUCGGAAUCACUGGGCGUAAAGCGCACGUAGGCGGCUUUGUAAGUCGGAUGUGAAAGCCCUCGGCUCAACCGAGGAAGUGCAUUCGAAACUGCAAGGCUUGAGUAUGGAAGAGGGUCGCGGAAUUCCCGGUGUAGAGGUGAAAUUCGUAGAUAUCGGGAGGAACACCAGUGGCGAAGGCGGCGACCUGGGCCAAUACUGACGCUGAGGUGCGAAAGCGUGGGGAGCAAACAGG
rnacentral:rRNA from 1 species